rnacentral:lncRNA from 1 species
GCAGAUCACUGAAGCAUCACUCCUGAAUGUUCCUCUGUACCCUCAAUGUGCAUUUGCACUACCAGUGAUCUCAAGAAUUCUAGAAAAUGAAAACUGGAUUACCAUCACCAACGUCUAGGAACUGUGAGUCCUAUGGCUAUUGAUAUCUAACAUCCUGGCUUCACUCACAUGGAUGAGCCCCACCUGGAAUGCCUAGAAGACGUGGGACAGCUGGAUCUCUCUCCACACGGUUUUUCAUUGUUGCCUCAGGUUCCAAUAAAAGCAAAAGCUGCAAGGUCUUCUGAGGCAAAGACUUAGAAAUACCACAAUGUUACUUCUGCUGCAUUCUGUUGAUAAAAGAAUCCCACAAUGCCAGCUUCAUUUAAAGGGGUAAAGAUAUAGAUUAUUCACCUUCGAUGGGAGGAACUGCAAAUGAUGUAAUUAGUGAUAAUUUUUAAUAUACUGUAAUGUAUUGACUUAUCUUUAAAAAAUGAAAAAAUAAACCA